rnacentral:rRNA from 1 species
UACGUAGGUGGCAAGCGUUGUCCGGAUUUAUUGGGUUUAAAGGGUGCGUAGGCGGCCCUGUAAGUCAGUGGUGAAAUACUCCAGCUUAACUGGAGGGGUGCCAUUGAUACUGCAGGGCUUGAGUGGAGUCGAGGUAGGCGGAAUUGACGGUGUAGCGGUGAAAUGCUUAGAUAUCGUCAAGAACACCGAUAGUGUAGACAGCUUACUAGGCUUCAACUGACGCUGAGGCACGAAAGUGUGGUGAUCAAACAGG